rnacentral:lncRNA from 1 species
CAAAGGACAGGCUCAGCUCAGCCUGCACUAUUCCCACCUACCUUACCUCACCCCUGGUGGGCAACAUGGCCCUGCAGAGCCCUGGUGUCCCAACCAGGUCAGGGCCGCAGGCGCACGGUGGAUGCAGCCAGGAGGCUGGCAUGCAAAAAGCAAUGCCCCUCUGCAGAAUGACAGAAAAAUCUGUCAAAAUAAAUGGUUUCUGACUCCCAAACUGACGUACUUGGGCAUCAGACUGCCUUUCUUCUCAGUAACAUAUGGGGAAAUGAGCUUGGGGACCACUAGGGAGUGUGAGUGAAAGCCAAAACUGCCAAGUGCUCUGUGUUGCCUUACGGGUGUGCGAUGUACUGUGGUGUUUGCGGAAUAGUGGUGUGUUACCAUGCAACAGCAGGUACGUCAGAGUUUGCAAGACCAGGGUGUUUAAGACGAUGGCUUCUUGCUGCUCAAGGAGCUGGAAUCGACCUUGAACCUCAUUUGAUUGCACAUGGGAAGAAGGUGCGGCAGAUAAUGAGGAUUUUUUGUCUGCCUACUGGUCUCUGGAGGAGUGUUGGACUCUGCUGGUGGGCACAGUCCGGAGCAGUUUGCGGUGAGAUGAAGAAACCAUGA